CUAUCAGAAGAUAGUUUAAUUUAGAAUUCUGGCUUUGGGAGCCAGGGGUGGGAGUUAAAAUCUCCUUCUUCUGGG
rnacentral:tRNA from 1 species